UACAGAGGGUGCGAGCGUUAAUCGGAAUUACUGGGCGUAAAGCGUGCGUAGACGGUCAUGUAAGUCGGAUGUGAAAGCCCCGGGCUCAACCUAGGAAUUGCAUUCGAGACUGCAUGGCUUGGGUGCGGAAGAGGGAAGCGGAAUUUCCGGUGUAGCGGUGAAAUGCGUAGAUAUCGGAAGGAACACCAGUGGCGAAAGCGGCUUCCUGGUCCGACACCGACGUUCAGGCACGAAAGCGUGGGGAGCAAACAGG
rnacentral:rRNA from 1 species